GCGUGCGGCGGCCGCGGCGCCAGUGUUUGUGUGUAUGUGAGAAAGCAAGGGGCGAGCGCGAGUGCGAGUGAGGCAAAGACAGAGCGCAUGUCUCAUCCCUGCGAGCAGCCACUAGACGCUCCACCACCAUCUUUUGCAUGUGCAACAUUUGCAGCCGGACAGAAAACCUCUCCCAGGGCUAUGGAGACUGCGGGAAAAAUCUGGCGGCUCGCAAUGGAUUGCUAAGGGGAAAUAGUCAUAAUCUUAAACCACCCCAAACCUCUUUCCUUUUUUUUCUUUCUUUUUUAUUUUAUUAUUAUUAUUUUUGUUGUUAAUUUUUAAUUUUAGCGCCGUCGUCUUCAAUGUUUCUCUGAACAGCCCUGAGGAAGAGUGUGAGAGAAAGAGAGAGAGCGCGCGCCAGGGAGAGGAGAAAAGAAGAUGAGGAUUAUUUGCAGACAGAUUGUCUUGUUAUUUUCUGGAUUUUGGGGACUCGCCAUGGGAGCCUUUCCGAGCAGCGUGCAAAUAGGUGGUCUCUUCAUCCGAAACACAGAUCAGGAAUACACUGCUUUUCGAUUAGCAAUUUUUCUUCAUAACACCAGCCCCAAUGCGUCGGAAGCUCCUUUUAAUUUGGUACCUCAUGUGGACAACAUCGAGACAGCCAACAGUUUUGCUGUAACAAAUGCCUUCUGUUCCCAGUAUUCUAGAGGAGUAUUUGCCAUUUUUGGACUCUAUGAUAAGAGGUCGGUACAUACCUUGACCUCAUUCUGCAGCGCCUUACAUAUCUCCCUCAUCACACCAAGUUUUCCUACUGAGGGGGAGAGCCAGUUUGUUCUGCAACUAAGACCUUCAUUACGAGGAGCACUCUUGAGUCUCUUGGAUCAUUACGAAUGGAACUGUUUCGUCUUCCUAUAUGACACAGACAGGGGAUACUCGAUACUCCAAGCUAUUAUGGAAAAAGCAGGACAAAAUGGUUGGCAUGUCAGCGCUAUAUGUGUGGAAAAUUUUAAUGAUGUCAGCUAUAGGCAACUUCUAGAAGAACUUGAUAGAAGACAAGAGAAGAAGUUUGUAAUAGACUGUGAGAUAGAAAGACUUCAAAACAUAUUAGAACAGAUUGUAAGUGUUGGGAAGCAUGUUAAAGGCUACCAUUAUAUCAUUGCAAACUUGGGAUUCAAGGACAUUUCUCUUGAGAGGUUUAUACAUGGUGGAGCCAAUGUUACUGGAUUCCAGUUGGUAGAUUUUAAUACACCUAUGGUAAUCAAACUAAUGGACCGCUGGAAGAAACUAGAUCAGAGAGAGUAUCCAGGUUCUGAGACUCCUCCAAAGUACACCUCUGCUCUGACUUAUGAUGGAGUCCUUGUGAUGGCUGAAACUUUCCGAAGUCUUAGGAGGCAGAAAAUUGAUAUCUCAAGGAGAGGAAAUGCUGGGGAUUGUCUGGCAAAUCCUGCUGCUCCAUGGGGCCAGGGAAUUGACAUGGAGAGGACACUCAAACAGGUUCGAAUUCAAGGGCUGACAGGGAAUGUUCAGUUUGACCACUAUGGACGUAGAGUCAAUUACACAAUGGAUGUGUUUGAGCUGAAAAGCACAGGACCUAGAAAGGUUGGUUACUGGAACGACAUGGACAAGUUAGUCUUGAUUCAAGAUGUCCCCACUCUUGGCAAUGACACAGCUGCUAUUGAGAACAGAACAGUGGUUGUAACCACAAUUAUGGAAUCCCCAUAUGUUAUGUACAAGAAAAAUCAUGAAAUGUUUGAAGGAAAUGACAAGUAUGAAGGAUACUGUGUAGAUUUGGCAUCUGAAAUUGCAAAACAUAUUGGUAUCAAGUAUAAAAUUGCCAUUGUCCCUGAUGGAAAAUAUGGAGCAAGGGAUGCAGACACAAAAAUCUGGAAUGGGAUGGUAGGAGAACUUGUUUAUGGGAAAGCAGAGAUUGCUAUUGCCCCUCUGACAAUCACUUUGGUACGAGAGGAGGUCAUUGACUUUUCUAAGCCCUUCAUGAGCUUGGGCAUAUCUAUCAUGAUCAAAAAGCCUCAGAAAUCCAAACCAGGAGUGUUUUCCUUCUUGGAUCCUCUGGCCUAUGAGAUUUGGAUGUGCAUAGUCUUUGCCUACAUUGGUGUCAGCGUGGUCUUAUUCCUAGUUAGUAGAUUUAGUCCAUAUGAGUGGCACACAGAAGAGCCAGAGGAUGGAAAGGAAGGACCCAGCGACCAGCCUCCCAAUGAGUUUGGCAUCUUUAACAGCCUCUGGUUUUCCCUGGGUGCUUUCAUGCAGCAAGGAUGUGACAUUUCACCCAGAUCCCUCUCAGGUCGAAUUGUUGGAGGUGUUUGGUGGUUCUUUACACUCAUCAUUAUAUCGUCUUAUACUGCUAACCUCGCUGCUUUCCUGACGGUUGAGAGAAUGGUCUCUCCCAUAGAAAGUGCGGAAGACCUAGCCAAACAAACAGAAAUUGCCUAUGGAACACUGGAUUCAGGGUCAACAAAAGAAUUCUUCAGAAGAUCAAAAAUAGCAGUGUAUGAAAAGAUGUGGACCUACAUGCGAUCAGCAGAGCCAUCAGUGUUCACUAGGACUACAGCUGAGGGAGUAGCUCGUGUCCGCAAAUCCAAGGGCAAAUUUGCCUUUCUCCUGGAGUCCACUAUGAAUGAAUACAUUGAACAGCGAAAGCCAUGUGACACGAUGAAAGUGGGAGGAAAUCUGGAUUCGAAAGGCUAUGGAGUAGCAACGCCCAAGGGUUCCUCAUUAAGGAGGAGGACAGAGGAGAACUAACCAGCUCCAGGACCAAGAAAUGCUGUUAACCUCGCAGUUUUAAAACUGAAUGAACAAGGCCUCUUGGACAAAUUGAAAAACAAAUGGUGGUACGACAAAGGAGAAUGUGGCAGCGGGGGAGGUGACUCCAAGGACAAGACGAGUGCCUUGAGCCUGAGCAACGUAGCAGGAGUCUUCUACAUUCUGGUUGGCGGCUUGGGCUUGGCAAUGCUGGUGGCUUUGAUAGAGUUCUGUUACAAGUCCAGGGCAGAAGCGAAGAGAAUGAAGGUGGCAAAGAGUGCACAGACUUUUAACCCAACUUCCUCGCAGAAUACCCAGAAUUUAGCAACCUAUAGAGAAGGUUACAACGUAUAUGGAACCGAAAGUAUUAAAAUUUAGGGCUGACCUUUUCUGAAGCCAUAAGAAACAAAGCCAGAUUAUCCAUCACUGGGAGUGUGGGUGAGAAUGGCCGCGUCUUGACGCCUGACUGCCCAAAGGCUGUACACACUGGAACUGCAAUCAGACAAAGUUCAGGAUUGGCUGUCAUUGCAUCGGACCUACCAUAAAAACCAAAAAAAUAAUUGAGUGCCUUAAUUUAACAGUGUUGGUGACUGAUGGAAACGCAGCCCUGAGGGACACGCCAUGCGCGGGUCUUUGCUAAACCAAUUCUUCGGCUGAGAGCCGGAAGUCUGUCCUAACGCUCGGGCCGGACAUCAGCAGCAGCAACGUGUGCAUGAGCUCAGCUCGGAAACCCAAACUCAGAUUUUAUAUCAGGAAAACUCACAAUUUAGGUUUUUUUCGGGGAGUUGGGGUGGGGGGAGCUGGGACGGGUGUAUUAACAGCAACAAAUUUCAUUUGAGAGGACUCAAAAACUAAUCAGACUUGCGAGUUAGCGCAUUAAACUGUGAAGUUCUUGCUCAGAAAGGCCUUUGUCUUCACCGAAAAGGAUAAAAUAGUUGUAGAAGUCCGUGAACAUGCUAACCUGUGUCUCCAGAACACCCAUAUAGUCCCUGGAAGAAAAUCCAGCUGAGAAAACAAAUCACUAAACUGUGAUAAGAAAAUAAUAAACAAACACGUAAAUCCUGCAGAAGAAAAAAUAAAGGAAGUAUUUACACUUACUUUGGAGAAAAAUACUGAAACAUGCUUGCUUUUUAACUGACAUAAAUUCACUAGAGGACAACACAAUUCUUUUUUCUAACCAUCUUAGGGAACAAUACGUUGCAAUAAUUGAUAUAAAUGCCAUCACUGUAAUAAACGUUAGAGACUUUUUUAAAAUAAAAGUUGUUGGUCAUCUUCUUGUUUGCUGUAAACUUCACUCUGUCACAUGAGUCGGUUCACAGAUUGCAUUUGUCUCACAACCAGGAAGAAAAGCAAAAGGAACAAAGUGUUUAGGUUCAAUCAUCAGUCUAGUGUAGACUCAAAAGAGACUAUGGGUCACUCAUGUUAACAGUAUUAUUUAUAAUCUUGUUCUGUGUACAAAAUUGUGGUUUUUUUACCCACCAAAAAGAAUAAAACAACAGAUGUUCUUACAAUAUCUACAGAGCUUAAAAGUUUUUUUCUUAUCAUUAUAAAAGUUAUUUGAGAAAUUAUAAGACUAUAUGAGAGAUCAUAAAAGUGGUGGGCCAUAGUGGAAAAUGUAGCUAGCCCUCAUUAUUUUUUGCAUACUAAGCUAACCUCUUCAGAUCUCUGACUCAUUAGCAGAUUAAAUUGUCAAAGAUGGAGUCUUUGAGUUGGGGAAUUAAUCAUUGUCCUAACAACAACAUACCUUGUAAUUGUAUGUUGAAAUUUUACUUGACUGUAUUUUGCUGCAUACAAUUAUAUGUCUUGAGCUUCUUCCCUUAUUCCUAUUGUUCCAUUUAAAUCAUUUGAAGGCACUAAUAAUAGUUUGGCGUAGAGAGAAAACGAAGAAUUAGUCUCUGUUUUCAACUGGAAAUUGUAAAGAAAAUUAUACUCAUGUUUAUUUAUAAAAAUCACUUUAUGAAUUAAACUAACACAGUUCAAAAAAAGGUUUGGUUCAUUUGAAAUGAUAAAUAAGUACUCUAAUGCAGAUAAAAAUCAUGUACUUAGAGUAUUGGCAGAAAGCACAAGUUAGGAUGAUUUCAGAAGUCUGACCUUGAAGGAUGAGUUGAGUUUUAAUAGGAGGAGAAGGUGUUAGGAGCCAUAUGGGUAAGUAGUGGUCCAAAGCCAUGCACAUCAAUGGCUCACUUAAGGAAUGAAUGCCGCUAGAUGGGUUAGUGAGAACACAAGGUGUGAUAUCAUGGAAGAUAAAGUUGGAAAAGGAGAAGGCUUAAUUUCCUUCCAUUAACUCUCAAGAUCCCAUUCCCCAUUCAAUCUCUGUGCUGCAGUAAGAGCAGUCUUAAACAGUGUAAAUCACACACACAUACGCACACACACAAUCUUAAACAGUGUAAAUCACACACACAUACACACACACACAGGUCCCUCAGGAAAAAUUCCAAGCUCUUGAGAAGAGCAAAUGAGCCCCUUCAUGACCUGGCCCUUGCUUGUUUCUUUCAGAACGUCUCUCACUUCUCUCCAGCUACUCUCGUCAGGAAAUGAACCUCCAAAGCAGCACAUGGAGCACUGCAUAGACUAUUUACUCAGUACAUAACUCCUUCCUGUCUCCUCUUUACCUGACUAACUUGUACUCAUCCUUCAAUACUCAAGUUGAAUUUUACUUGCCAUGAAAAGAUUUCCAUGGCUAUUCACCACCCCCUGCCUGUGAGAUUGAGUUAGGCACCCUUCUUAAUGUUUACCCCCAUCAUGGCACUUAUCAUAUUGCGUUGUAAUUGCCUGUGUACUUGUCUGUAUAACUACUAGACUGUAAGCUCCUUGAGGGCAGGGACUGUGUCUAUCUUGUUCACAGUUGUAUCCCCAGCACCCAGCACAGUGCCUGGCAUAUUGUAGGUGCUUAAUAAAUAUUUGUUGAAUGAA